rnacentral:rRNA from 1 species
UAGGGAAUCUUCCACAAUGGACGAAAGUCUGAUGGAGCAACGCCGCGUGUGUGAUGAAGGGUUUCGGCUCGUAAAACACUGUUGUAAGAGAAGAAUAGCAUUGAGAGUAACUGCUCAGUGUCUGACGGUAUCUUACCAGAAAGGAACGGCUAAAUACGUG